CAAACCCCUAGCUCCUUAUUUCGCAUCGGAUUCGAAUUUGGUUCCAGAUUGGGCUAAUUAAAUCUAAAUUAAGUCAAACCAAUUUUGGGUCUGAGUUGGGUCAACCUUUGGCUGGUUGAACCAGGGAUUGGAUGCCACAAAACUAGCAUCCCAUAUGCUAAGAAUUUUUUCUUGCGCAUGGGGUUUAUCUUGUGUGCAAAAGUCAAGUC
rnacentral:lncRNA from 1 species